rnacentral:rRNA from 1 species
GUAGGUGGCAAGCGUUGUCCGGAAUUAUUGGGCGUAAAGCGCGCGCAGGCGGUUCUUUAAGUCUGAUGUGAAAGCCCACGGCUCAACCGUGGAGGGUCAUUGGAAACUGGAGAACUUGAGUACAGAAGAGGAAAGCGGAAUUCCACGUGUAGCGGUGAAAUGCGUAGAGAUGUGGAGGAACACCAGUGGCGAAGGCGGCUUUCUGGUCUGUAACUGACGCUGAGGCGCGAAAGCGUGGGGAGCAAACAGGGAUUAGAUACCCUGGUAGUCCACGCCGUAAACGAUGAGUGCUAAGUGUUAGGGGGUUUCCGCCCCCCUUAGUGCUGCAGCUAACGCAUUAAGCACUCCGCCUGGGGAGCACGGCCGCAAGGCUG